rnacentral:rRNA from 1 species
UACGGAGGGGGCUAGCGUUGUUCGGAAUUACUGGGCGUAAAGCGUGCGCAGGCGGUUAUGUAAGACAGUUGUGAAAUCCCCGGGCUCAACCUGGGAACUGCAUCUGUGACUGCAUAGCUAGAGUACGGUAGAGGGGGAUGGAAUUCCGCGUGUAGCAGUGAAAUGCGUAGAUAUGCGGAGGAACACCGAUGGCGAAGGCAAUCCCCUGGACCUGUACUGACGCUCAUGCACGAAAGCGUGGGGAGCAAACAGG